CAAAAUUUGGACAUCGAAACCACUUGCCCUAACCUUAAUCUCAUUUCCAACUCUUCUUGCUCAUGAUUUGGUAUAGUCGGAUCUCAAACUCGCUGUGCGGACCUCCGAUUUUAGGACGAGGCUCGAAGUUGUUGUUGCAGAUCCACAGAAAUUGCAAUGGCGAUACGCUUGGCGCCUUCAAUUCUCCAAAUUCUUUUAGAUACGAUGAAAUGCAGUCUGAUGCUCUCGCAAUCUGCUAGUACUUUACUUAUCAUCCGUUGUAAGGACGAGGCUCGUAGUCGUUCUUCCACAAGAUGUUUCUCCAUAGAAAUUGCAAUGACGAUACACUUGGCGCCUUCAAAUCUCCAAUUUCUUUUAGAUACGAUGAAAUGCAGUCUGAUGCUCUCGCAGUCUGCUAAUACUUUACUUAUCAUCCGUUGUAAUGGUAAGUCGGGCUUAUAUUUUAAUUAAAAUCGGCUGGAACAAUCGUCUAAUCUAUUUUUGCUUGUUAAUUAGACAUCUUAGAGGUCUGAAGAGCAAAAUCUCGAUUAGUUGAUUGUUUGCCGGACUGAC